ensembl:lncRNA
AUUUGAACAUACUGUAACUUUUGGACAGAGGCAUCUUGAAUAGUUUUUAAUGUAAAUGCAAAGAGUCCUCUGUGUGGAGCUCCUCUGAGGGCGGACGAUGUAAAAUGCUGAGUCACCCUUACUGAGCUGAAUCAAUGGAUAUACAAGCUAUUAUAUUUAAUCGUGUGCAUUGAAAUGAUGGAAUGCAGCUUAUUCCAGAAUAAAGGCUCCUUCAAAAGUGGAAAUGUUCUUGUCAGGUCACGCUACAGAUCCAUUCAGCUAUGCUUUUCUUCCUUGGAGAAAGUCCAGACUGCAGAAACCGACAUGUGCCCUGCGGAUAUGCAGAGAAAUGAAGAGCUGCCCUGCUUAAGUUCCCAAAAAAACCACAGGUGGUCUACAGAGACAAUCGUCUGGCUUUUGCAAAACCUGGAAUUUGCUGUAGGGUGUUUAACAAACACCGUGCGUUUCCUCAAUAAAAGGAGCAAUGCAGUCAAGUAAGACCAGGAGCAUUCACAGCAUUCUGAAAAAAUGAACUGAGAGAAGAGGACAGUCAACACUGUAAGUGGAGCCUGCAGUCAAAUGCCUUGCUCAAUGACACAUUGCUCAAUAGUGAUGCCACAAACACUAACAGAGUUUAACAGCUUUUCAUAUUUACACCCUCUUAGUUUAACCAAAACACAGACAAACUAACUGUUAGUAAAUCCUUGAAGAGGAAUUACAAUCCAUGGAUGCUUUUAAAGGGAUUUCAAUUGAGUUAAGCUUGCCAGACAUAACUUAACCUGUCAGCUUUUUUUCAGGCUCAAGUACAGGGUAAAAUCUAUUUGCAAUCAAAUUUAAAAAGAAAUAUGAGCUUGACAAUCAAAAUGCAUAAUUUUCAUACAAAGAAAUACACUCUAUAUAAGAUUGUUCUAAAUGUAGAUAAAAGUUUUCCUCUUCAUCUGUUGGUCAGUGAUUUUGAACAGCAGUAAUCAUUCUCUGCAUCACUCUGCCCUCUGCUGCACGAUCUGGUCAUUGCAUUUUGGAUUUGACUUUUCUGUGCUACACAAAUCCAGUGCAACUGUAAUUGGAAACUGGGUAGCAUUUUCUUUUUUUCUUUCUUUUAGCAGAAAGUUAUUGCAUGUUUCAGGUACAGUUAAGGUACUGAAAUAAACAACAUUAGUCACAAGUUUUUGAACA